rnacentral:rRNA from 1 species
CCAAUAGCGUAUAUUAAAGUUGUUGCAGUUAAAAAGCUCGUAGUUGAAUUUCGGGUCCCCGCGCUCGGCGCUUCAUUGUGCCGUCGUGGUGUCCCUCCUCGCCGUAAGGCGUCCUUUACUGUGAAAAAAUUAGAGUGUUCAAAGCAGGCAAUCGCUUGAAUACAUUAGCAUGGAAUAAUAAGAUAGGAUCUUGUCUAUUUUGUUGGUUGCGGACAACGAUAAUGAUUAAUAGGGAUAGUUGGGGGUGUCCGUAUUGAGCUGUCAGAGGUGAAAUUCUUGGAUUUGCUCAAGACGAACUACUGCGAAAGCAUUCACCAAGGAUGUUUUCAUUAA